rnacentral:rRNA from 1 species
GACGAACGCUGGCGGCGUGCUUAACACAUGCAAGUCGAACGGAAAGGCCCUGCUUUUGUGGGGUGCUCGAGUGGCGAACGGGUGAGUAACACGUGAGUAACCUGCCCUUGACUUUGGGAUAACUUCAGGAAACUGGGGCUAAUACCGGAUAGGAGCUCCUGCUGCAUGGUGGGGGUUGGAAAGUUUCGGCGGUUGGGGAUGGACUCGCGGCUUAUCAGCUUGUUGGUGGGGUAGUGGCUUACCAAGGCUUUGACGGGUAGCCGGCCUGCGAGGGUGACCGGCCACAUUGGGACUGAGAUACGGCCCAGACUCCUACGGGAGGCAGCAGUGGGGAAUAUUGCACAAUGGGCGGAAGCCUGAUGCAGCAACGCCGCGUGCGGGAUGACGGCCUUCGGGUUGUAAACCGCUUGCGCCUGUGACGAAGCGUGAGUGACGGUAAUGGGUAAAGAAGCACCGGCUAACUACGUG